GUGCCAGCAGCCGCGGUAAUACCGGCAGCCCGAGUGAUGGCCGAUCUUAUUGGGCCUAAAGCGUCCGUAGCUGGCUGCGCAAGUCCGUCGGGAAAUCCACUCGCCCAACGAGUGGGCGUCCGACGGAAACUGCACAGCUUGGGGCCGGAGGACUCGAGGGGUACGUCCGGGGUAGGAGUGAAAUCCCGUAAUCCUGGACGGACCACCGGUGGCGAAAGCGCCUCGAGAGGACGGAUCCGACAGUGAGGGACGAAAGCCAGGGUCUCCAACCGGAUUAGAUACCCCAGUAGUCC
rnacentral:rRNA from 1 species